rnacentral:rRNA from 1 species
UACGUAGGGGGCUAGCGUUGUCCGGAAUCAUUGGGCGUAAAGCGCGCGUAGGCGGCCCAGUAAGUCCGUUGUAAAAGUCAAAGGCUCAACCUUUGAAAGCCGAUGGAUACUGCUGGGCUAGAGUCCGGAAGAGGCGAGUGGAAUUCCUGGUGUAGCGGUGGAAUGCGCAGAUAUCGGGAAGAACACCCGUGGCGAAGGCGGUUCUCUGGGACGGUACUGACGCUGAGACGCGAAAGCGUGGGGAGCGAACAGG